CUGUAAAUGAAAAUGCAGGUUUAUGAUGUCAGUGUCAUUCCAGAAUUCUUCACAAUCUUCCAGAUUUGCUGCACAUCAGGAAGCUUGACGAUGCUUACUUUAGCAAAUCCUUAAUCCCAGAAGGACAAACAAGAAAAGGUAUUCAUUAAAAUGGAAGAGAUUCUAAUAAUUUAUACCAAGUCUGCCAAUCACUGUACACUACUGUGUGAAGAAUUAAGAUUAAAUGUCUUUCCUUGAUGGAAUGGAUUAUUCUCACACCUUUGACAAGACAGGACAAUGUCAUCAACUGAAUGAGAGAAGACUGAAAAAUUAGAAAGAAGUUGAAUUUUCUUAAUUUGGAAUGACUUCAGGAAGCAUUGCAAAAAUAAAGCUUGUAUUUUAGAUAUUUUGAAGACUGCAAAAUGAACAUACAGAAGAAAUUUUGUAAUUAAAUUUAUGCAGGCCAAGCCUAUGCUGAAAAGAAUAGCAAGAAAUAAAAAUAACCUAAAGCAAAGGCACAUUUCAGCAAAA